UUUGAUCCUGGCUCAGGACGAACGCUUGCGGCGUGCCUAAUGUAUGCAAGUCGAGCGAGGGAGAGAGCUUCGGCUCUCUUUCCUAGCGGCGAACGGUUGAGUAACACGUAGGCAACCUGCCCCGAAGUGGGGGAUAACUCCGCGAAAGCGGGGCUAAUACCGCAUGUGGAAGACGAGCGCCUGCUCUUCUCUCCAAAGCAGCAAUGCGCUUCGGGAUGGGCCUGCGGCCUAUCAGCUUGUUGGUGGGGUCACGGCCUACCAAGGCGACGACGGGUAGCUGGUCUGAGAGGAUGGUCAGCCAGACAGGGACUGAGACACGGCCCUGACUCCUUUGGGGGGCAGCAAUGAGGGAUAUUGCGCAAUGGGGGCAACCCUGACGCAGCGACGCCGCGUGGGUGAGGAAGUCCUUCGGGAUGUAAAGCCCUUUUGACGGGGACGAGAACGGACGGUACCCGUCGAAUAAGCCCCGGCUAACUACGUGCCAGCAGCCGCGGUAAUACGUAGGG
rnacentral:rRNA from 1 species